rnacentral:misc_RNA from 1 species
GAUGAAGAACGUAGCGAAAUGCGAUAAGUAAUGUGAAUUGCAGAAUUCAGUGAAUCAUCGAAUCUUUGAACGCACAUUGCGCCCGCCAGUAUUCUGGCGGGCAUGCCUGUUCGAGCGUCAUUUCAACCAUCAAGCCCCCGGCUUGUGUUGGGGACCUGCGGCUGCCGCAGGCCCUGAAAAGCAGUGGCGGGCUCGCUGUCACACCGAGCGUAGUAGCAUACAUCUCGCUCUGGGCGUGCUGCGGGUUCCGGCCGUUAAACCACCUUCAUAACCCAAGGUUGACCUCGGAUCAGGUAGGAAGGCCCGCUGAACUUAAGCAUAUCUAAGCGGAGGA